AACGCUAGCUACAGGCUUAACACAUGCAAGUCGAGGGGUAGCAGGGUAGCAAUACCGCUGACGACCGGCGCACGGGUGAGUAACACGUAUCCAACCUACCAUUCACACGGGGAUAGCCUUUCGAAAGAAAGAUUAAUACCCGAUAGUAUAGCGAGAGGGCAUCCUUUUGCUAUUAAAGAAUUUCGGUGUUUGAUGGGGAUGCGUUCCAUUAGAUUGUUGGUGAGGUAACGGCUCACCAAGUCUUCGAUGGAUAGGGGUUCUGAGAGGAAGGUCCCCCACAUUGGAACUGAGACACGGUCCAAACUCCUACGGGAGGCAGCAGUGAGGAAUAUUGGUCAAUGGACGAGAGUCUGAACCAGCCAAGUAGCGUGAAGGAUGAAGGCCCUAUAGGUCGUAAACUUCUUUUAUAGGGGAAUAAAGUGCGGAACGUGUUCCGCUUUGUAUGUACCCUACGAAUAAGGAUCGGCUAACUCCGUGCCAGCAGCCGCGGUAAUACGGAGGAUCCGAGCGCUAUCCGGAUUUAUUGGGUUUAAAGGGAGCGUAGGUGGAUAUAUAAGUCAGUUGUGAAAGUUUGCGGCUCANCCGUAAAAUUGCAGUUGAUACUGUAUAUCUUGAGUGUACAAGAGGUGGGCGGANUCGUGGUGUANCGGUGAAUGCUNGAUUCACGAAGAACUCCGAUUG
rnacentral:rRNA from 1 species